UACGUAGGGAGCAAGCGUUGUCCGGAAUCACUGGGCGUAAAGGGUGCGUAGGCGGGUCUUAAGUCGGAGGUGAAAUCCUGGAGCUCAACUCCAGAACUGCCUUCGAUACUGAGGAUCUCGAGUCCGGGAGAGGUGAGUGGAACUGCGAGUGUAGAGGUGAAAUUCGUAGAUAUUCGCAAGAACACCAGUGGCGAAGGCGGCUCACUGGCCCGGUACUGACGCUGAGGUGCGGAAAGCGUGGGGAGCAAACAGG
rnacentral:rRNA from 1 species